UCCCUGGUGGUCUAGGGGUUAGGACUGGGCACUUUCACUGCUGUGGCCCAGGUUCGGUCCCUGGUCUAGGAA
rnacentral:tRNA from 1 species